rfam:Vibrio furnissii NCTC 11218 chromosome 1, complete sequence.
CCCCGGAGUAGAAGCGGUCUGCAAUCUCGAUGAUUGCUGGACAUUGCUCCAAUC